ACUGUAAUCGCUGGGUCACGUGGUAAGUCCACUUUUAGUUUUGAAAGGAACUGCCAAACUGUUUUCCAGAGCAGCUGUACCAUUUUUACAUUCCCAACAGCAAU
rnacentral:pre_miRNA from 1 species